AAUGCUUAGGAAUCUGCCUAUUAGUGGGGGACAACAUUCCGAAAGGAAUGCUAAUACCGCAUACGCCCUACGGGGGAAAGCAGGGGAUCUUCGGACCUUGCGCUAAUAGAUGAGCCUAAGUCAGAUUAGCUAGUUGGUGGGGUAAAGGCCUACCAAGGCGACGAUCUGUAGCGGGUCUGAGAGGAUGAGCCGCCACACUGGGACUGAGACACGGCCCAGACUCCUACGGGAGGCAGCAGUGGGGAAUAUUGGACAAUGGGCGAAAGCCUGAUCCAGCCAUGCCGCGUGUGUGAAGAAGGCCUUUUGGUUGUAAAGCACUUUAAGCGAGGAGGAGGCUACUGAGAUUAAUACUCUUGGAUAGUGGACGUUACUCGCAGAAUAAGCACCGGCUAACUCUGUGCCAGCAGCCGCGGUAAUACAGAGGGUGCGAGCGUUAAUCGGAUUUACUGGGCGUAAAGCGCGCGUAGGCGGCUUUUUAAGUCGGAUGUGAAAUCCCUGAGCUUAACUUAGGAAUUGCAUUCGAUACUGGGAAGCUAGAGUAUGGGAGAGGAUGGUAGAAUUCCAGGUGUAGCGGUGAAAUGCGUAGAGAUCUGGAGG
rnacentral:rRNA from 1 species